GCCUGGGUGGCUCAGUCGGUUGAGCGUCCGACUUCGGCUCAGGUCAUGGUCUCAUAGCUUGUAAGUUCGAGCCCUGCAUCAGGCU
rnacentral:tRNA from 1 species